AAUCAACGCUGGCGGCGUGCCUAACACAUGCAAGUCGAACGAGAAAGUGGAACAAUCCAUGAGUACAGUGGCGACCGGGUGAGUAACACGUGACUAACCUACCCUAGAGUGGGGGAUAACCCCGGGAAACCGGGGCUAAUACCGCAUGACAUCGCGAGGGGAAGAUCCUUGCGAUCAAAGGAGUAAUCCGCUCAAGGAGGGGGUCGCGGCUGAGUAGUUAGUUGGUAGGGUAGCGGCCUACCAAGACGAAGAUCAGUAGCCGGCCUGAGAGGGCGCACGGCCACACUGGAACUGAAACACGGUCCAGACUCCUACGGGAGGCAGCAGUGGGGAAUUUUGCGCAAUGGGGGAAACCCUGACGCAGCAACGCCGCGUGGAGGAUGAAGUCCCUUGGGAUGUAAACUCCUUUCGAUCGGGACGAUUAUGACGGUACCGGAAGAAGAAGCACCGGCUAACUCUGUGCCAGCCGCCGCGGUAA
rnacentral:rRNA from 1 species